rnacentral:rRNA from 1 species
UACGGAGGAUCCGAGCGUUAUCCGGAUUUAUUGGGUUUAAAGGGUGCGCAGGCGGGAGAUUAAGUCGGCGGUGAAAUUUUGCAGCUCAACUGUAAAAGUGCCUUCGAAACUGGUCUCCUUGAGUGUAGAUGAAGUAGGCGGAAUUUGUGGUGUAGCGGUGAAAUGCAUAGAUAUCACGAGGAACUCCGAUUGCGCAGGCAGCUUACUAAACUACUACUGACGCUCAGGCACGAAGGCGUGGGGAGUCAAACAGGAUUAGAUACCCU